rnacentral:rRNA from 1 species
AUUGAACGCUGGCGGCAGGCCUAACACAUGCAAGUCGAGCGAGCGGCGGACGGGUGAGUAAUGUAUGGGGACUGCCCGAUAGAGGGGGAUAACUACUGGAAACGGUAGCUAAUACCGCAUACUAUCGGAUAACCCAUAUGGGAUUAGCUAGUAUGUGAGGUAAUAGCUCACAUAGGCGAAGAUCCCUAGCUGGUCUUAGAGGAUUAUCAACACAACUGGGACGGCGACACGGACCAGACUCCGACGGAGGAAGCAGUGGGGAAUCUUGCACAAUGGGCGCAAGCCUGAUGCAGCCAUGCCGCGUGUAUGAAGAAGGCACUAGGGUUGUAAAGUACUUUCAGUCGGGAGGCGUUACCCACAGAAGAAGCACCGGCUAACUCCGUGCCAGCCGCCGCGGUAAUAC